GGGCAAGUUUUCAUGUGUGCAUGUGGUCAUGGGUAUGUGGAUGACGACCAGGCGCACGUGGUGCAAUAUCUGACCAUAGUUCUCCCCCACUCAUUGUUCUGAUUUUUGUCAGAGACAUGAGUACGAAUUGCCUGAAUUUCCGUCAUUAGUUAUUGGAAUUGCGUUCCCAGAUCCCCUUUACGACGGAGUUGUGGGGCUUUUUUAGGGGGGGAGUGGUGGAGUUCAGAGUCUUGCUAUGAGAUCUUAUCGGAUCCUCCUGCUAGUUUGUGGAGCUACAAGUCAAGGUGUUCAACGUUUGUUUACUUUAGAGUUUUCUCGCACACACUAAUGCGCUGAUGAAGAUUAACUUACCAUUUCGGGAUAUUUUAUUGGCCCAAUAGUCGCUUAGUUGUUGAUCCCGAGUGGAGGAUUUUGAGUUUUUUCUUUGAUAGCCGUUGAUCCUAAGUAACGAAACUUGCCUACUGGUUGUUACUUAGUUGCCUGAUAUCCUUUAGAAUUUGCCCAAAUGGGCGUUAUUUUUGUAACUUAGGAUGCCUGAUAUGGUUCCAGGCCUUGCUAGUUGUUUUCAAUUAGUGCCCCAGAAGCUUUCAUACCAGCACUAGUGUUUGGAGAUUGAGCCUCAGAUCCUAGUGUUCUUUUUAGUUUUCUCAGAAGUUGCCCAAUGUUUGGAGAUUGAGCCUCAGAUAACACAUGAUGACCCUGAGCGGAGAUUGAGCUUGUCUAGGGUGAAAUACUAUGGAUAAUGAGCAAUCCUAAAAUUUUGCCUAAUGUUUUUUUGUUUAAUUAAUUGCCUGACAUGGUUCCAAUUUUAUGACCCUCAUAUCAAGCUACAUACAUAGUUGCUUGAUUUUAUGACCCAUUUUAGGACAUAGUUUUUCUUUGCCAUGCGUUCCAUCACGGCACAAUUUUUUGCCUGCUAUCAAACACACAGUUUGCCUACAAUCACACCGCUUUUGCCUCAAUCUAUUAUGUAUCCUGCCUAUAAGCACAGAGUUUUUGCCCCAAUGUACUAUGCACAAUCAGGGGGGCAUGGCCUCUUUGUUGCUUUUUCUUACUAUUGUUACAACUAGCAGUAUCAAAUAAAUAGUGCUCCCUCCGAUCCAAAUUAAUUGAUGCAACCUCUAUACAAUGUAAAAUAGACAUUCUAUAGAGGCUAUGUCAACUAAUACAGAUCAGAGGGAGUACUUUCUUGUUCAUGUGUGGGUUUUGUUCAACACCUCCUUUUAUCUUUCACGAUGCACCCAUCACUACUAUCUUUAGUAUGUGACCUUCAAAAAGUUGCUUACUACUGGUGGCCAAGUUUACUAGCCUUUAGGUUGCGGUGUGUUGGAGAUUUUAUUGUUUAUGCAGGCCCACGGAAAAAAUUCUGAAACUAUAUGAACUCAACUUUUUCAGCAUAUACUUCUAGGUAAACUACAAAGUUGCCUCAAUCUACUACGUAUCUUGCUUACAUUCCAUGAACACGACUUGCUUUCUGACUUUUUUUACCCUAUUACCUACUUCUUUGUCUAUACACGGCGAUGAAUGCAACAUAGUUAUGAUUUUUUUACCACUGGUUGCACUGAUUUUACACCCAAAAAAUUCCAUAGUAGUAGAUUUUUUUGUUGUUGACUGCACUGAAAGCUGCCUAAAAUAAUAUUAGUGGUUGAUUGACAUUUUUCUUGUAGUUCAUACAACCUCCAAAACACACAUAACAUAGCCCCAAACCCCAAAGGUUAACAUACAAAAAGCUUAUCUCCAAGGACUUCUAUUAUUUUUAGUUUUUAGGUUUUGAUUUUACCACAAAACCAUCAAUUGCAUGCAAAGCAUUCUAUACUUGCCUACAUCUCAACACAACUUGCCAAAAAAAUUACAGGAAAAAAGAAGAAUUUUGGUGGUCUGUGGGCAGGAAUUGUUUUUUUAGUAUGUCUUUUUGCAGGGGGUCCAUUAAUUUUUACAGAGGAUGCCAUACCCAAGCAAGAAGAUCCAUUAGACCUUUUUUCCAGGUUUUAUGGGCAGGCACUCAAGCAACUAAACUUUCAUACAGACAUUUUUCUUAGGUAAACUUAUCUCAGGCCCCAAAGAGCCUCCCAACUAAUUUGUUUCUUCCAGCCAAAAAAUGAAGUUUUAGGCUGAAACUUAUAUGCAUUUUUUUCAACAUUUCUUGGGAGGACUUUAUGGUUUUAGAAUCUACGUAUACAAUCUCAAGCAAGAAAAGCUUCAACAUCCACCACAAGCUCUUUGUGUGCUAAUGGCAUUGGAUCUAUGGAAUUAGAUCUGGGAGGAAGAAAACCAAGAACGUUUCAGGACGUGGCUAGGGAGCUCUUUGUGUGCUAAUGGCGUUGAAGCUAUGGAAUUAUAUCUGGGAGGAAGAAGGCUACCAGGAGCAAGAUAGGCACUGGUAGGCAGUGUGGGGUAUGUUUGGCUUUUGUUUUUGUGGGAUCAGUGUUGUUGGGCACCUUGGGGGACCAGACAUGUACGCUUACCUUUUUUAUGAAAGGGGGACAAAAACUUUCCUAAAACAGGUGUAUGCCACGGGAUGCUAGAGAGCACACGGUUGCUCCCUAGACACGUCCAAUAUAAAUAGCUGUGCCUGUGCC